rnacentral:rRNA from 1 species
UGGGGAAUAUUGCACAAUGGGCGCAAGCCUGAUGCAGCCAUGUCGCGUGUGUGAAGAAGGCCUUCGGGUUGUAAAGCACUUUCAGCGGGGAGGAAGGCGAUAAGGUUAAUAACCUUGUCGAUUGACGUUACCCGCAGAAGAAGCACCGGCUAACUCCGUGCCAGCAGCCGCGGUAAUACGGAGGGUGCAAGCGUUAAUCGGAAUUACUGGGCGUAAAGCGCACGCAGGCGGUCUGUCAAGUCGGAUGUGAAAUCCCCGGGCUCAACCUGGGAACUGCAUUCGAAACUGGCAGGCUAGAGUCUUGUAGAGGGGGGUAGAAUUCCAGGUGUAGCGGUGAAAUGCGUAGAGAUCUGGAGGAAUACCGGUGGCGAAGGCGGCCCCCUGGACGAAGACUGACGCUCAGGUGCGAAAGCGUGGGGAGCAAACAGG